GGGAGACCGUUCGAAGAAGAAAGAUAGAAAGGACGAAGGAAAACGAGGACAGAAAGGGAGAAGACCGCAGAGCGGUGGACGCUCGCGUAAACACGCAAGCUGUUACGAACGAGAAGGAAGGUUUGUAUCUCAUUUGGAAUCGAAACGACGAGAAUCCAUUCGCCGAAAAGUUCAGUCACACGAAAGCGAUUCGAGAAAUCGUUUAUCUGGUUUACCAACUGUACCACGCGAAAACUUUGAAAUCGUUAGAUUAGGUCGGUGUACCUAUAUUUAGCACAUUACAAAAGAGAGAGUUAAGUAGAAAUUAAGUGGUAAAUUGAUCAGUGUUUACAGGGACGGCUCAAGGUACAGGCUUCAAGGAGUACAGAGACCUCUGACAGUUGGAGGGUCUCCAGAGACUAAGUAAAGAGAAAUCCAACGAAGGGAGUAUUAUAUACUUGUAAAUUAACGUAAAUUUCUUUUUUCUUAAUGAAGUCUUAAAAAUUAAACAGUUGUGGGAAUACUUAUUGCUUCAACAUUUCUAUCGAUUAAUUAUUUUUUUCUUUUUAAUUUCGCAACUUACAUAAAUAGCUAUUUUUUUUUUUUUUUUUUUUUUGUAAUCUAUCUAUUCUAGAGAUUAUCGAGAAUAUGUAGAAUGUCAUUGUUUAUAAAAAAUAAGCUAAUAAAUUACAAUUUUACAAAGUUUUUUUUGGAAAUUGAUCGGUGUACGAAUACUUUCUACACCCACUGUACAUGCUUAUUCAACGGUGUGAAUUUGAUAAAUAAUAAAUUUUGCACAACGUGCAAUGAUGCACCAUAUGAGUAACGGUACACCAUAUGAAUACAACUGACAAAUACUGCUGUCUAGCAACGAUGCUUAACGAGGGAUGAAUAAUCUCGUGUGCUUUCCAAUCAUUUUUAACCGCAAAAAGAAAAAAGUGAUCCGCGUGAAAUUUAAAAAGAAUGAAAAACCCGAAAUCCGCAUUUUACCGGAAGCUGGACUAUUCGAUCGAACAGGUGCCGUUUUGCUGGUUAACCGUGAAACAUUUCAUUCUAUAGUUGAAAUUCUGAUUGAGGAUCGCACAAUUAUCCAUGUUUGGAUGAAUCACGAAUCAAUUCUCAACUGAGAAAUGUAAACUCGCUGUCGGUAAUCGUACAUACACGAAUUCUUGGCGAAAUUACUCAAGGAAGAUUAAUUUUGGAGAAAAUCGAUUCGAGAUCAAAGAUCCCUAGGAUAGAAAGGGAAGAUCGUGAAGAGGUGGGACGCUCGGCGUAAACACACCAAGAGUCUUACGAGCUGUUACAAGCGAGAAGGAAGUAACGUAUUAAGGAUAAAGAAAGAGAGAAAGAAGGUUAGAACCGCACAGUGAAUUCCGAGUGCGACGGCGCGGCGGUGAAUACCUGUCAGCGCGCAUUCCACGGUCCCAACAGCGUGCUCUCGUCUCUCGUCGUUUAUAACCACUAGACUUUUGCCUUCCUAACGGCAAGGACUGGCCACCAGUAGCACUCACAAACACACGACGCACACACCGCGUUUAACUCCGUGGAGACGGUAUUUAAACGCACACACUAUAGCCCUUCGCGGUCCGAAAAAAAACGUAUCACUUGCCACGGUAGCCGGGUGAAUCGCGUGCUGCUCGCGGCGCGAACAUGGCGCACACAAUUCUCACGCGUUCACCAUGGAGAAAUGCACAAACUCGGUGAACAAUGAAAGGGGACCCUCCGCGAUGGAAGGAGGAACCACGGUGAAACGUUUGCGAACAAUGGAACGUGACUUAAGGACACCGGAGAGCGCGAGAGCCAGCUUUACACCGCAGGGUAAAUACUAGAACAAAACUCGCCGCUUUCGCUCGCGAUGCGCGGCUCUGCUGGCCAAUCCCCACCCGCGCAACGUCGCCACGUGGUACACCGCUCGGCCAAUCAGAGACUGGUUACGCGGGGCCCCCCCCGGACGUGUUCGUAAAGCCGGCUUCGCUACCGAUCAGUUCCUUCUCUUCUUCUGUUGUACCUUGUACCGAUUUAACGUUCGAGACGUGCGUCGCGAACAUACGCGAGAUACGAGAGACUCGUCCGCGUCCUUUUGCCGAUAUUCUUAAUCAUUCUUAACCCUGCGUUGCUUGCUCGUCACGGUGACCAGUGACGGUACUCGCUUUGUUUAGUUUUUUGCGUUCCUACAGCGAUGGAUCGCGAUGAAAUCUAGGCCUGGGACUUAUCAUUUGUAUUCAACAAGUGAUCGAAUAAUAUUAGAAUUGCUAAAUAUUCGAACCCUUUACACCCGACGACAUUUUUCAUGUCUAUAUACAGUGAGUUACAAAAUUAUUAACACACACACAGCUGGCAAUCCCAUGAAAUUGUUAUUAUUUUAAAGUGUACAAUUUUACACUUCCUAAAAGAAUACGUAUAGAGAUUAGGAAUUGAAAUAAAAUCUAACAAAUUAAAUUUGUAAAUCUCGAUGGCAACUGCUAGCCGACUCUCAACUGCAAAGGGUUAAUAAUUUAUAUACCUUUUAUUUUUUAAUGGUAUAACUUUUAAAAUGUAUGAAUAUUUAAAGUUUUAAUAAUUUUUCAUAAGUAAAUACCUCUGCCGUUAUUAUUCUGUAAUUUCACUAUGUUAACAAAUUUCUGUAAUUUCCAAAACGUCAAUAUUUUAACAUAAUGUAUAUCUAGCAAAAUGAAUCGAAUCGAUAACAAUGCGACUUUUGAUCGCAACCCGUGUAAUUGAUGAGUACAAUGUGCAAGAAAAGGAUUGCGAUAGGAUCAUAUGGAAGAUCGACUAAAAUAUCUUUGCGCCCAGGGUAUGGACACCAAAGAAACUUUGUAAAUUCGCCUGCAGGGACACGGAUAACUUACCAAUCCCCUGACCCACACCGCGUCGGUACGUAACGCAAGAUUCACCGCGACUCCGACGAUACCGGAUACCAUACAUCCAUAAAAUUUCCUCGUGAUCGGUCAAUUCUCUCACGCCUGACCCUCGCUCGUGUACUUAGCUGUUUAUCUUGCGCAGAUACAAAGAGACGCGCAAACGUAUUACACUUCCGCUGGCGUCUGCGUCGAUUUCCUUUGAGAAAUGCCAUUUCCUUGUCAGAACGUUUCUCUUGUUAUCGCCAACUUGCCUUUUGUGUUUUGUAGUUCCUUGCGUAUGUGUGUAACCGUAACCGUCGGUGCGUUGCUUACAUAGGUUCGCAGACGCGACGGCCGUGCGGGCAGUUGGAAACAUAAUCGUCGAGUGCUGUCUCGAUGCUCAACCAAUACAAUCAACUUAAUUGAUACGAUGAUUUGUUCAAAGAGUAAAGUCAGACGUCUCGAAUGGGGGAUUACUCAUACCCGUUUUACAAUUACGUUUCUCAACAGAAAAAAACGUAGCGAAGAAACGAAUGUAACCGUUGCUGUACUUGGAUAUGAAUCGAUGAUGGAUAGAUACUAUUUCCAGUAUGCUUAACCCUUUGACUGCCGAGGGCGUAUAUAUACGCCCUUGAGAAAUAAGCUCCAAGAAAUGUUUGUAUUGGUUAAAUUAAUUUAAAAAAAAUAUCAGCUUAUAGGGGAUGAUGGGAUGAAAAUUUUUUAUAUUUACAGUUUAUUCAUAGGACGCUUAGUUUCGAAAAUAAAAAUUGAAAGGUUAAAAGUUCGUUGCAAAAAUUGAAUUUCAGGAAAAUGGUCUUCUAAGAUUUUUAAUUCUUAUCUCUGAAACUAAACGUCCUAUGAACAAACUGUAAAUAUAUAAAAGUUUCGUCUUAUAAUUUCCUAUAAACUGAUAUUUUUUUUAAAUUCAGACCUCUACGUCACUUGGAAUUUCUAGCAAAGAUCGUCCCGCAGUCAAAGGGUUAUUUCAUUUUAGCCCAUUAUCGCACGUACUGCGAUAAAAUAAACACGAUAUGUAUGAAGUAGUUAAACAGUAAAAGAUAGGACACUGAAGUGCAAAGAGGAGGGGUGGGGAUAGUGUGACUUUAUACGAAUCUAACCUCAAUUUUUGUAUUUUUAUUUCGUAUCAUUCUAAUUUUGAAAAAUAACACGACCGAUUGAAUUGGUCGUUCUUCCUCUCACUCUGGAUUUAGUUCAGAGGUUAUAAGCAGUUAAAAGUGGCAUUUUACCGAAUUUGACUGACACUUUCGACGCCAUAUUGUCUUGGAGCUAUACCCUGUCGGUAAAACAGAUUCUCGGUGGUGGCGGACUACAUUAUGUACUACUUUUAUAUUGUUAUGACUAUUUUUGAAAACUGCCAUAUUUCGAAUUAAUAGAGUUGAUCUGGGCCUAUUUUCUCGGGGAGGAGGAGAGGGGGGCGCCCUAGAGUACAAAUUCAACUUUUGAAUUGCCUGACAAAUACGGUAAAAAGGCUCACCUUUAACUGCUCAUAACUUCUGAGCCAGUGGAUUCCUCGCCUGAAAACUAGCAUUCUUGGAUUCCACUCGCCGAACUCUACAAGCUUAUGUAAAAAAAACUUGAAAAUGUUAGGUCCGCCAAAGUAAAGCUUAACCAAUAAAAAUACAAUUAUAUAUUCCAGCAUAAAGAAAUAAAAGUGUUUCAUUUAUUCCCUGUUAAUCAGACAACAAGUUCUCUUCGUCACUGCUCUCUGUUCUCUGCCUCGAAACGACACAACGACAGAUCGAUAGGGUACGUGGAUCCCAGUCACCCAGUCACCGAAACGAACGACAGGCGUCUCUGAAUUCGACUCGGAGAGAUCGCAGAAUCUGUCCCGCGUUUGGUUUGUGUGUGCCGACCACGACGAGUGUGUAACGGGCCACUGGCCGGUGGAAUUAGUUUCUUUUUUUGAGGCAGGUCACUGACACCGAACGGCGAUGGAUUGACGCCGCGGGGUCAAGUUCUACGCUUCUAUGUACGCUGUCGACAGAGCUUCGCGUUUAAAGCCGAUGGCCAGCAAGCAAAAUAGAACAGUUGCAACUUUGAGCAUUCUCGGCGAGCAAUGUUACAUCGCAUAAUCGUCUAUGAACCCUUGCGCUCGUGUUUGAAUAUGGAGUAGCUUCGGCGAAAGUGCAAUCAGCUUUCCUCUGGCUUGUCAGUUCAAACGAGCACAAGUCCCAAGAGUGAAGCGUCAGGCAAGGGCAUAUCCCGAGAAAGAAUUCACCCGCGCCAGAAUUGUCCAGAAAUUCUGAUUCUGAAGUGUCUAUGGGCACGAAAGUCAUCUAUCUGGAGCUCCUAUCGAAGAGACCUCUCAAAAUGAAUGUUUACAAAAUUUAUUGCUGAAAUUUACACGCUAACAAUACUCGAAAAAUAAGUCUCCUUAUCCAGAAAGCUUACUU